UACAGAGGUCUCAAGCGUUGUUCGGAUUCAUUGGGCGUAAAGGGUGCGUAGGUGGCGGGGCAAGUCUGGUGUGAAAUCCCGGGGCUCAACCCUGGAACUGCACUGGAUACUGCUUUGCUAGAGUACUGGAGAGGGAACUGGAAUUUACGGUGUAGCAGUGAAAUGCGUAGAUAUCGUAAGGAAGACCAGUGGCGAAGGCGAGUUCCUGGACAGUUACUGACACUGAGACGCGAAAGCGUGGGGAGCAAACAGG
rnacentral:rRNA from 1 species